CCUGAAACUCAGUGAAAGAUAAACAACAAAAUAUUUCUGCUAUAAAAGUAUAUUAUAACAUUUAAAAUGAAAACCUUACUUGUAAUUCUCGCUAUUUUCAUGGUAGCUUUAAUAUCUGUCACCAGGAGCAACCAUUUAGAUGGUGUUGAGUACCCCGUAGAAGGUGUAGUCGAUUCAUCGACGGAGGUUGUGGAGCUAUUCAGUGGCGCGGGAGUCUCUCGUCAACGUAUCUGUACGGCAGCGCUGUGUCGCAGUGUGUGUCAGUCACUCGGAUUCCCGAUAUCCUUCUGUAACAUUCAACUCAUCUGUGUCUGCAGACGUUAAUAUUACUUCAUACAAUAUAUUGUAUUUACAUGGAUAAUGCUCUCUAAAUAAAUGUGUUUAUAAAAACAAUAA